rnacentral:rRNA from 1 species
GCCCUUAGAGUUUGAUCGUGGCUCAGAACGAACGCUGGCGGCAUGCUUAACACAUGCAAGUCGAACGAGGGCUUCGGCCCUAGUGGCGAACGGGUGAGUAACGCGUGGGAACCUGCCUUGGAGUGGGGGAUAACCACUGGAAACGGUGGCUAAUACCGCAUGCGCCCUGAGGGGCAAAGCCCCGGAUCUCGGUCCGGGGCGCUUUGAGAGGGGCCCGCGUCCGAUUAGCUAGUUGGUGGGGUAACGGCCUACCAAGGCUGCGAUCGGUAGCUGGUCUGAGAGGAUGAUCAGCCACACUGGGACUGCGACACGGCCCAGACUCCUACGGGAGGCAGCAGUGGGGAAUAUUGGACAAUGGGGGAAACCCUGAUCCAGCAAUGCCGCGUGCGUGACGAAGGCCUUCGGGUUGUAAAGCGCUUUCGCCCGCGACGAUGAUGACGGUAGCGGGAGAAG